rnacentral:rRNA from 1 species
UACGUAGGGCGCAAGCGUUAUCCGGAAUUAUUGGGCGUAAAGAGCUCGUAGGCGGUUUGUCGCGUCUGCCGUGAAAGUCCGGGGCUCAACUCCGGAUCUGCGGUGGGUACGGGCAGACUAGAGUGAUGUAGGGGAGACUGGAAUUCCUGGUAUAGCGGUGAAAUGCGUAGAGUAUCAGGAGGAACACCGAUGGCGAAGGCAGGUCUCUGGGCUGAUUAACUGACGCUGAGACGAAAGCUGGGGAGCGAACAGG